CAGGAAGCCGGCGCGAGUCCGGCGCGGUCCCGCCACUGUGAGCCCUCGCCCUCCGGGGGAGGGGAGCCAGACACUG
rnacentral:ncRNA from 2 species